GAUGAACGCUGGCGGCGUGCUUAACACAUGCAAGUCGAACGAUGAAGCCCAGCUUGCUGGGUGGAUUAGUGGCGAACGGGUGAGUAACACGUGAGUAACCUGCCCUUAACUCUGGGAUAAGCCUGGGAAACUGGGUCUAAUACCGGAUAGGAGCGUCCACCGCAUGGUGGGUGUUGGAAAGAUUUAUCGGUUUUGGAUGGACUCGCGGCCUAUCAGCUUAUUGGUGAGGUAAUGGCUCACCAAGGCGACGACGGGUAGCCGGCCUGAGAGGGUGACCGGCCACACUGGGACUGAGACACGGCCCAGACUCCUACGGGAGGCAGCAGUGGGGAAUAUUGCACAAUGGGCGAAAGCCUGAUGCAGCGACGCCGCGUGAGGGAUGACGGCCUUCGGGUUGUAAACCUCUUUCAGUAGGGAAGAAGCGAAAGUGACGGUACCUGCAGAAGAAGCACCGGCUAACUACGUG
rnacentral:rRNA from 1 species